rnacentral:lncRNA from 10 species
CGGCAUUUGGCGGGGCUUUUGUCUCUCGCUGCAGCCAGAGCUUGGGAUCGCUUUCUGCUAUUCAACGUCCUCCACCUCUGCCCCCCUCUCGCCCCAGCCGGUGACAGGCUGUUGCCCUGUGAUCUGCAGGUCCUGGGACGUGCACAGACAGCUAAGAUGCCAGGACAUUCCAGAAGGUGGGAAAGGCACCUGAGUAAUUUGACUCUCCUGCCUGGACCCAGCGUACAGAUGGGAUUGUGCUUCAUUGCUGGACCCAGCAUUUAGGCCCACUACCUAUGAGAUUGCAUGCUCCUGCCUGGGCUGUGCCCACAGUGACCUUGUGACAUAUAUCUGCAUCCAUGACCUAAAAGAUGUGACACUUCUUGCCUGCAACCUGCCCUGCACAGGAAAGAUUGCGACUUCUCCCUGGAAGCAGACACCAGGAGAGAACUGUAACAUAUCCCUGGAUGAGCACCCAGGUGAUGUGAUAUUCCUGCUUGGUUCUUUCCCUCAGGGAAGAUUGUGAGAUACCCUUGGCUGAAAUCCCAGGGAUCGUCACUCCCGUGGAUGAUCAAAGGCGCCUGUAAUUUCAGCUACUCCGGGGGCUGAGGCAGGAGAAUCGCUUGAACUCGGGAAGCAGAAGUUGCAGUGAGCCAAGGUCGCACCACUGCACUCCAGCCCAGGCGACAUUGUGAGACUCCAUCUCAAAAAAAAAAAAAAGAAAAAAAGUGUACUAACAAGACCCAGCACACAGAGGAGACUUUUACCAUUGUAUGAACACCCAUCAAACAGUACACAUCAUCAUUGUGAGUUCUGAAUCUCACACAUAGAGGAAGUCAAAGGUGGAAAACUUGACUCUCAUAUUUGGAUCCAGUCCACAGGUUCUGCUAGCAAGGAAGACUGAGACAUAUUGUGGGGCUCUACGCCAAUGUGACAUUACUGUUCUGCCUUGGCCUGUACCUGAAAAGGCAUUGUGACAUAUUGCUGGGCCCAGCAACAAGGUGGCAUGAGUCUUCCGUAUGGACCCUGACAACAGAGCAUUGUGACAUAUCUUUAAGAGCAUCAACUAUUUGAUGUGACUCUCCUUUUCUACCAAGGCUUUCCUCAUAUGAGAGAUUGUGACACAUCUUCUGGCACAGAAAUCAAGUGAUGUGUUUCUCCUGCCUGAGCUUUGCUCAUAGAAAGCAUUGUGACAUAUCUCUGGUCUCAGCACCCAGGUGUGAUUUUGACGCACACUUCUGCCCAGCACCUGAGUAAUGUGAUUCUUCAGAAUUGGCCCGGCCCACAAAUAGGAUUGUGCCACACUGCUGGACCCAGUGCCUAAGUGAUGUAACUCUAUUCUUCUGCCUUGGUGCUACUCGAAAAAGACAUUGUAACAUAUCUCAGAGCCUUACACCCAGGUAAUGUGAGUCUCCUCUUCUGCCUUGCUGCUGCACACAGAAGCGGAAUAUGUACAGGAUUGUUAAUCUCAUCUUGGAUCUUCCUGCACUUGUGAUUGUGACACAUGCCUCUGUGUAGAACCUGAGUGAGUUUACUCUCCUGCCUGGAUUUAACCCAUAGAUGGAAUCGUGACAUAUCACUGUACCAGAAACUAGGUGAUGUGACUCUAUUUUCUUGCCUCUGUGUUUUUAUAUGGGGCAUCGUGACAUAUCACUGGGCCUUGCACCCAAGUGAUGGGAGUUUUCUCUCCUGCUUUGGUGCCGUCCACAAUGAAAAUUGUGAAAUAUUGCUGCCCUCCCCACUAGGUUAUGUUACUCUCCUGCCUCUGCUUUGCCCACAUGGGUCACUGUGACAUAUUGCUGGGUCUAAAACCCAGGUAAUGUCACUCUCUUGUUUGGGUUCUGCCUGCAGGAGUCAUUGUCACAUAUCUCUAUGCUCAUCACCCAGGUAAUAUGAUUCCCUUUUACUGCUUAGUUCCUUCUCACAAAACAACUUGUGACAUAUUGCUAGGCCCAAUACACCUAGCUGGUGUAACUCUUCUUUUCUUUUCUUUCCUUUUUUUUUUUUUUUUUUUGAGAUGGAGUCUCACUCUGUUGCCCAGGCUGGAGUGCAGCGGCAUGAUUUCAGCUCACUACAGCCUCUGCCUCCUAGGUUGAAGCGAUUGUCCUGACUUGGCCUCCCAAGUAGCUGGGAUUAAAGGCAUGUGCCACCACGCCCGGCUAAUUUUUGUAUUUAUAGUAGAGACAGGGUUUCGCCAUGUUGGCUAGGCUGGUUUCGAACUUCUAACCUCAGGUGAUCCUCCUGCCUCGGCCUCCCAAAGUACUGGAAUUACAGGCAUGAGCCACUGCACCUGGCCUGAUUCUUCUCUUCUUUCUAGGUUUCAACUGCAGCAGAGAUUGUAACAAACCACUGGGCCCAGCCGCAUAAUGAUGUUACUCUUUUGCCUUGGGCCUGCCCUCAGAAGGCACUGUCACAUAUUCAUGGGCCCAACGCCAAGGUGAUAUGUGUCUCCAGCCUGGACCCUGCCCACAGGGGGCAUUGUGACAUAUCUCUUGGCCCAUCAGAUGUUUGAUUGUUAUCCCCUCCCCUCUUCUACCCUGUGUUUGCCUAUAAAAGACACAGUCAUAUGUUCCUGGGCCCAGCACCUAGGUGUUGUCUUACUGGAAUGUGUCCACAUGGGGAUUGUGAUAUGUCACGUGGCCCAGUACUUAACUUGAUGUGACUCUCCUCUCAUGCCUAGGCCUUGUAGAGAAUCCCCUUCCCCUUUUGUUUUCCUUUUUUUCUUUGCAGAUCCAGGAGAUAAUCAACUAAGAGCCAGGCACCCGUUUAGGUCUAAUAAACAUUUUACAAACUGCUCUCUCUUUUAAUUCACCUAUCUGAGAGAUUCCUCUGUACAAUAAAACUUGGUCUCCACAAUCCUUUACCUUAACCUAAACCUUCCCUUUCAUUGAUCCCAGGUCUUCAGAUUCCACCACUUGUCAACCACAAAAUAUUUAAAUUUACCUGGAAGCCGCCCGCUUUGAGUUGUCCCGCCUUUCUGAACCAAACCAAUAUAUUCCUGCAAAACCGGCCAUGAUUAAAACAUCAAAAAAUAAUACAUGUUGGCGUGGCUGUGGUGAAAAAAGAAUACUUUUUCACUGCUGGUGGGUAUGUAAACUAGUACAACCACUAUGAAAAACAGUAUGGAGAUUCAUUAAAUAAAAGUAAAGCUACCAUUUGAUUAAGCAAUUCUACUACUGUGUAUCUACAUGAAGAAAAAGAAAUUAUAUGUGUAAGACACUUGCACACACAUGUUUAUAGCAGCACAAUUUGCAAUUGCAAAAAUAUGGAAGCAGCCUAAUGCCCAUCAGCUAAUGAGUGGAAAAAGAAAAUGUGGCAUAUAUAUACCAAUGCAUACUACUCAGCCCUAACGAGGAAUAAAAUAAUAGCAUUUGCAGCAAUCUCGAUUUAGUUGGAGACCAUUAUUCUAAGUAACUCAGCAAUAAAAAA